GACGAACCGUGCGAACGUUAUUCGGAAUCACUGGGCUUAAAGGGCGCGUAGGCGGGCGGACAAGUCGGGGGUGAAAUCGUUCGGCCCAACCGGACAAGGGCCCCCGAUACUGGCCGUCUCGAGGGAGGUAGGGGUCGAUGGAACUUACGGUGUAGCGGUGAAAUGCGUAGAUAUCGUAAGGAAGACCAGUGGCGAAGGCGGGUCUCUGGACAGUUCCUGACGCUGAGGCACGAAGGUCAGGGGAGCAAACGGG
rnacentral:rRNA from 1 species